rnacentral:tRNA from 1 species
AAAUGUUGUGCCUGAUAAAAGGACUAUCUUGAUAUGAUAAAAAUGUGAAAUUUCACCCUCAUU